rnacentral:rRNA from 1 species
AGAAUCAACGCUGGCGGCGUGCCUAACACAUGCAAGUCGAACGAGAAAGUGGAGCAAUCCACGAGUAAAGUGGCGCACGGGUGAGUAACACGUGACUAACCUACCCUUGAGUGGGGGAUAACCUAGGGAAACCUGGGCUAAUACCGCAUAAUACCUACGGGUCAAAGGAGCAAUUCGCUUAAGCGAGGGGGUCGCGGCCGAUUAGUUAGUUGGCGGGGUAAUGGCCCACCAAGACGAUGAUCGGUAUCCGGCCUGAGAGGGCGCACGGACACACUGGAACUGAAACACGGUCCAGACUCCUACGGGAGGCAGCAGUGGGGAAUUUUGCGCAAUGGGGGAAACCCUGACGCAGCAACGCCGCGUGGAGGAUGAAGUCCCUAGGGAUGUAAACUCCUUUCGAUCGGGACGAUUAUGACGGUACCGGAAGAAGAAGCCCCGGCUAACUUCGCGCCAGCAGCCGC